CUGCAAAGACAGGCUGUAUGGAAGCUUCCCAGGGAGCUGGACCUUUAGAAGAAGAGAAUCACAAAAUCUCUGCCUGCCUGCCACAACAGGAUCUACCCCAUGGAUCAUCCAUCUACAAUUUAGACAACAGUAGACGGGAGAAGAGUAACCCCUGCAGCACAUGACUUCCACGCUCCGAUACAUCUCCAUCCAGCUACAGUUGCUAAGGGUUAGGGCAGGAUUGAAAGCUGACAUCCCUCCAUAGGAAUCCAUUUGGCUUGUGCAGCCACUAAUCUAGUCCAAGAGUUUGCCUCAUCCACACCUGAAAAUUAUGUCAGAUUGUGAACGAGAUGGAGAAGCAGCGAUAUUACUCAGAACAUGACCUGAUAUUUCAGCAGCUGUGUUGACUCCCACACUUACAAUGGAUUAAAAUUCAUGCUGUCUGGAAAGACAAUCUUCUUUUUCGUCUUGUCACUUGGUGGCUGGUGGGCCCAACAUGUAUUAAGCCUAAAGCCUACUAGGUACACCAAAUUACCAAGACACUUUUAGAAUGCUGUUAAGCUAUUGUAGGAUGUGGAAAAAGACAGUUUGCAAAGAUACAAAAUGCACACUAUCUUGUUAUUUGACUUAGUAACUGAUUUUGCAAGGAAUGUACAAGACCAACAGUUGUUAAAUUGACAAAUUUAAUGUAUUUAUUGGAAAUUUAUAUCUCUAUAUAAAUGGCAUAAACAAUGACACCAGACACUGAUCUUGCAGUUAGAAAUUUAUGAAAUAUGAUAGGAUGUUUGGAAAUGUGCUAAAAAUAAAGAUUGUAUGUGAAAAGAGGAACCUGCUUAAAGUGAAAUAGUAA